UAAGUAGAAUAAAUGAUCGCGGCUGACAGAGCCGAAAGGUGUCAGGUGAGGAAAGUCCGGGCUUCAUAGGGCAGGAUGCCGGAUAACGUCCGGUGGAGGUGACUCCAAGGCCAGUGCAACAGAAAUAUACCGCCGGCUUCGGCCGGUAAGGGUGGAAGGGCAGUGUAAGAGACUACCGCCUUCCCGGUAACGGGAGGGGCACAUGUAAACCCCAUCCGAAGCAAGACCGAGAAAAAAGCAAUGUGGCUGCCCGUCACGCUUUUAGGUGGGUCGCUUGAGCCUGCUGGCGACAGCAGGACUAGAUAGAUGAUCAUUCACGACAUAACCCGGCUUACAGUUCUGCUUACCAU
rnacentral:RNase_P_RNA from 1 species